rnacentral:tRNA from 1 species
GCCCGGGUGGCUCGGUGGUUGAGCAUCUGACUUUGACUCAGGACGUGAUCCCGGACUCCUGGGAUCGAGUCCCACAUCAGGCU